AAAGUCGUAACAAGGUUUCCGUAGGUGAACCUGCGGAAGGAUCAUUAAUUGCGGUAGUUUACUACUGUUUGAAGGGGGUGGAAACUUCUCAGGUCUCCCUGGGAAGAAGUACGCUUCUUUUCUUAACCCUUGACUUUUUGCGUACUCAUGUUUCCUCGGUGGGCUUGCCCACCGGUUGGACUAUUCUAUAACCUUUUUAAUUUUCAAUCAGCGUCUGAAUUAUCAUAAUAAUUACAACUUUCAACAACGGAUCUCUUGGUUCUG
rnacentral:misc_RNA from 1 species